GUCUUUUUGAUUAUAAUUUAAAGUCUAACCUGCCCAAUGAGUAGUUAAAUGGCCGCGGUAAUUUGACCGUGCAAAGGUAGCAUAAUCAUUAGUUUUUUAAUUGAAAGCUGGAAUGAAUGGUUGGACGAGAAAAUUACUGUCUCAAUUUAAUUGAAUGUAGAAUUUUAUUUAUAAGUAAAAAAGCUUAUAUGAGUUUAAAAGACGAGAAGACCCUAUAGAAUUUUAUAUUAUUAUUAAUUAUUUUAUUUAAGAAUCUAUAAGGAUUGAUUAAUAAUAAUAUUUUGUUGGGGUGACAGAAAAAUUUAAUAAACUUUUUUUUUAUAAGUUCAUUAAUUUAUGAGUUAUUGAUCCGUAUAUUACGAUUAUAAGAUUAAAUUACCUUAGGGAUAACAGCGUAAUUUUUUUUUAGAGUUCUAAUCGAAAAAAGAGUUUGCGACCUCGAUGUUGGAUUAAAAUUAACUUUUGGUGUAGGGGCUAAAAGGUUAGGUCUGUUCGACCUUUAAAAUUUUACAUGAUCUGAGU
rnacentral:rRNA from 1 species